AACGAACGCUGGCGGCAUGCCUAACACAUGCAAGUCGAACGGGAUCCUAGCUUGCUAGGUGAGAGUGGCGGACGGGUGAGUAACACGUGGGAAUCUGCCUUUUGGUUCGGGAUAACCGCGGGAAACUGCGGCUAAUACCGAAUGCCCUCGAGAGAGGAAAGAUUUAUCGCCAGAAGAGGAGCCCGCGUCCGAUUAGGUAGUUGGUGGGGUAAAGGCCUACCAAGCCGACGAUCGGUAGCUGGUCUGAGAGGAUGAUCAGCCACACUGGGACUGAGAUACGGCCCAGACUCCUACGGGAGGCAGCAGUGGGGAAUAUUGGACAAUGGGUGUAAGCCUGAUCCAGCCAUGCCGCGUGCAGGAAGAAGGCCUUCUGGGUUGUAAACUGCUUUUGCCGGGGGAUAAAGAUCCAUGCGUGGAGAAUUGAAGGUACCCGGUGAAUAAGCCACGGCUAACUACGUGCCAGCAGCCGCGGUAAU
rnacentral:rRNA from 1 species